rnacentral:rRNA from 1 species
UAAGCGGAGGAAAAGAAACUAACAAGGAUUCCCCUAGUAACUGCGAGUGAAGCGGGAAAAGCUCAAAUUUAAAAUCUGGUGGUCUUUGGCCAUCCGAGUUGUAAUUUAGAGAAGCGUCUUCCGCGCUGGACCGUGCACAAGUCUCCUGGAAUGGAGCGUCAUAGAGGGUGAGAAUCCCGUCUUUGGCACGGACACGCCAGGGCUUUUGUGAUGCGCUCUCGAAGAGUCGAGUUGUUUGGGAAUGCAGCUCAAAAUGGGUGGUGAACUCCAUCUAAAGCUAAAUAUUGGCGAGAGACCGAUAGCGAACAAGUACCGUGAGGGAAAGAUGAAAAGCACUUUGGAAAGAGAGUGAAACAGUACGUGAAAUUGUUGAAAGGGAAACGCUUGAAGUCAGUCGCGUCGACCGAGACUCAGCCUCGCCUUGGCUUGGUGUAAUUCUCGGCUGACGGGUCAGCAUCAAUUUUGCCUCUUGGAUAAUGGCGAGGGAAAUGUGACACCUUUACGGUGUGUUAUAGUCUCUCGUCGCAUGCAAGGGUUGGGAUUGAGGAACUCAGCACGCGCCUUCGGGUGUCGGGGUUACGCCCACGAUACGUGCUUAGGAUGUUGGUGUAAUGGCUUUAAACGACC